GACGGAGGAUGCAAGCGUUAUCCGGAAUGAUUGGGCGUAAAGCGUCCGCAGGUGGCAGUUCAAGUCUGCUGUCAAAGACCGGGGCUUAACUUCGGAAAGGCAGUGGAAACUGAACAGCUAGAGUAUGGUAGGGGCAGAGGGAAUUCCUGGUGUAGCGGUGAAAUGCGUAGAGAUCAGGAGGAACACCAGUGGCGAAGGCGGCUCACUGGCCCGGUACUGACGCUGAGGCGCGAAAGCGUGGGGAGCAAACAGG
rnacentral:rRNA from 1 species